UACAGAGGUCUCAAGCGUUGUUCGGAUUCAUUGGGCGUAAAGGGUGCGUAGGCUGUGAGGUAAGUCUGGUGUGAAAUCCCGGGGCUCAACCCCGGAACUGCACUGGAUACUGCUUUACUAGAGCACUGGAGAGGGAACUGGAAUUUACGGUGUAGCAGUGAAAUGCGUAGAUAUCGUAAGGAAGACCAGUGGCGAAGGCGAGUUCCUGGACAGUUGCUGACGCUGAGGCACGAAGGCCAGGGGAGCAAACGGGG
rnacentral:rRNA from 1 species